rnacentral:ncRNA from 1 species
CAUUUGUGAGAAUCUAUUGCCCUAAAAACCCAAGGAUUUCUCUGCAAGGUUUGUCCAUAGAAAGUGAAUCAGAGCUUAAGAUUAGGUCGAAAGGCAUAAUCGAUAGACAAUAGGUAAAUAUUCAUGUACUACCCCUUGCUGAUCCUAAAGGAUGAAGGAAGCUAGGUUAGCUGAAAGAUGUAGGACACACAAGGUUUAAAAGGG